UAGUUAAUCAUUGAUUCCCUGAAGUUAGCGGUUAUGAUGUGUGCAUUGCUGUUAACCUAUCCACCAGUUGUUGGAGGUGGCCCUAUAUCCUGGGCAUCUUGUAUGGCUAUUAUUGGUGUUGGAGGUACACUGUUAGGUUCAGCUGUAUUGCCAAUGCUUGGGUUCACAUCAGGUGGUAUAGCAGCCGGAUCGUGGGCGGCUUCUAUGAUGGCUUCAUACGCCGGUGCUGUACCAGCUGGAAGCUUGUUUGCCAUUUUGCAGUCGACUGGAGCAACUGGUGGUAUUGCAUGGAGUUCAUUUGGUGGAAUAUCUGGAUUUUGUGCCGCUUUGACUGGUCCGUUUCCAUAAAUUCUACUUUUAAUCUGUAUAUUUUACGUAUUUUCUGUUUGUCCGACUAGGUUUAUUUACAAUAUUAACAAAGUCAUUUUUGAUACUGUGACA